rnacentral:rRNA from 1 species
GCUUGUCUGAAUUAUUCACCCAUGUCUUUUGCGCACUUCUUGUUUCCUGGGCGGGUUCGCCCGCCACCAGGACCCAACCAUAAACCUUUUUUUGUAAUUGCAAUCAGCGUCAGUACACAAUGUAAUUAUUACAACUUUCAACAACGGAUCUCUUGGUUCUGGCAUCGAUGAAGAACGCAGCGAAAUGCGAUACGUAGUGUGAAUUGCAGAAUUCAGUGAAUCAUCGAAUCUUUGAACGCACAUUGCGCCCUUUGGUAUUCCAAAGGGCAUGCCUGUUCGAGCGUCAUUUGUACCCUCAAGCUUUGCUUGGUGUUGGGCGUCUUUGUCUCUCACGAGACUCGCCUUAAAAUGAUUGGCAGCCGGCCUACUGGUUUCGGAGCGCAGCACAAUCUUGCACUUCUGAUCAGCCAUGGUUGAGCAUCCAUCAAGACAUAAAUUUUUUUUUAACUUUUGACCUCGGAUCAGGUAGGGAUACCCGCUGAACUUAAGCAUAUCAAUAA